rnacentral:lncRNA from 1 species
UUAGUUUUUCUUCCAGUUAACAUUACAUACAAUCUGCAGUUAAAGUUUAUUAAACAUUUAUUAGAUUCAUAAACUAUCCUGGAUUUUUUUUACCAAACUUGGAAGCUUCUUUCAAUCAAAAGACAGUAUCGAGAGGGAAAUUUUUAUUGAUGUUUUUCCUCAUUUUUGUUGAGUCUGCGAUUAACAGCAAAAGUAGGCGAGACACUGGGUUCCGUGGAACCCUUACGAAUUUUUU